UACGGAGGGUGCAAGCGUUAUCCGGAUUCACUGGGUUUAAAGGGUGCGUAGGUGGGCAGUUAAGUCAGUGGUGAAAUCUCCGGGCUCAACCCGGAAACUGCCAUUGAUACUAUCUGUCUUGAAUAUCGUGGAGGUAAGCGGAAUAUGUCAUGUAGCGGUGAAAUGCUUAGAUAUGACAUAGAACACCAAUUGCGAAGGCAGCUCACUACGCGAAUAUUGACACUGAGGCACGAAAGCGUGGGGAUCAAACAGG
rnacentral:rRNA from 1 species